ensembl:lncRNA
AGAUACCAUAUUCAGUGGGAAGCAGGGGUGAGGAUGCAUGAGGCUGGAGAGGAAAAGGCAGGGGGGGAGGGCGAAGGGUUUGUAUUCUUGACCUUAGGUAGCUGGUGCUGAGAGGUAGUGUAUUGUGUUGAAGCACAGACAGAAGUAGAGUUUGUAGAUGGGAAGGAGGGAGGAGGGAGGAGGAAGCUGGGACAGCGAGGGGGGAGGAGGAGAGAGCAGCAUCUCUAUCUUUCUUUGCAGACCACGCUGCUAAACAGCCAGGGGAGGCUCAUGCUUCCCUAAUAUCCAUCACUGCCUGCUUCCAACGUGGUCACAGACAGAGCAACAAAGAGGGUCUCAGAGGUGCAAAUGGAAGCCGAUUUAUCUGCUUAGCAACUUUUAUGUAUUGACACCCAGUUCAGCAGGACCUAGCUGUAUAACACCCAGUAGAAGAGUACACCUGGAAGACUACAGUCUGGCUGGGUUUACACGUCAUGUACAUAAGCUAGUAGGUUGUUUGAGACCUAAGCUGGCUUUCCUUGGAGUCAGGUUGAGGGCCACUGGCCCAGGCAACGUCCAAAGCAGAUAAUACUUGCAUGGAUAUUUGAGAGUUGCUAAUUUUUUGGCAUUGUGUUUUGUAUUUUUUCAACAUUGCAUUAUUCCAGUAUUGUUAAUAUUCGCAGAUGUAAUUUUCAGCAUAAAAAAAAUGCAGGAUUGAUUCAUCUGUUUACUAAUGGAACUGUGAUGACUGAUAACUAUGAGAGUUUCAAAACCAAAUGAAUUAGAUGCUAGCUAUGUAACUAACCAAAUGCAUUACAGAGGAGAACCUUUUCCUAAAUUUCUGUAACACUUUUAGACAGUUGGAUAUGAUGAUGAAUUUUCGUUGGAACAUCCAAUGUUUUAAUGAAUGAAAAUCAGUGAAGUUCUUGUUAAGAUCUGCGAAUACUCAUAAAACAUUUAAAAAAACAUCAGUUUUGACACAAACUGCUUGACAGAACUGUUGACUACACUGGGUUUUGAUCUCUCCUGUUAUUGUAGGUCAGUUAAGAAACUCUAGAGGAAGAAGACAGGAGAAGAGAAAGCUGUGUGCUGUAUUUUUCCUCAGCUAUAGCUUACAACAAUUUAGAAGCUGCAGGGAACUUCUUGUACCAUUUACCUUAAUAAGGAAAAAAACACUUUCUAUCAGAAAAUACAUUUCACAGGUUGUUUCUACAUGACUCUAUCUUUGGGUAUUCCAAAUGGAAUUAUAGAAAACUGAAAGAUUAACUCCUCCACACACUCCAAAGCUCUCACAUCUAAUAGGAGUUUAAUAUAAAUAGCUAAAUAUUUAUUAAGGGGCAAGAACAGAUGAUGAUCCAGUACAAAGGGGUAUUGCAGGAGAACUACAUUAACUCUGGGUUUUGCCACUGUUCUUAUGUGACUUUGAAAUAUUUGAGCUCUGUCUCUUAAAAUUAUUUAGCUAAAAUUACUUGUCAUGGACUUCAGUUGUAACUAGGGACUCAGAGGCUCAUGGAAUCUAUGCAAGGAUCACUUCAGCCCUGUAAUUUCCCACCAGUAAAAUGGAGAAAGAACACAUCUUUGCUUACCUGCAGUUUUCCAAGGGUGUUAUUAAACAUUGAGCUGUUUAAGAAUUACAGUACAUAGACCAUGAAUGAAAAAAUGGAGAUUCUAGUACUUCUAAAAACUAAGAAGGAACAGUUUUUAUUCAAGUGAGACUGAAUUUUUUACUAUUUUUAACAUUAUCAAUUGAUGCAUCUAAAAUGUAUCAGUAAGCUCUUUUGUAUCAGUUUUUAGUGCAAGUGAAUGAGAGAUAUUAACUCUCUCAAUAUGAUGAGUUAAGAAAUAUAUAUAUAUUUAAAAUUAAGGUAAAAAAUAAAAAUAAAAAUGAAAACUCUAAUGAUUUCUAGUAAUUAAAACAAGUUGUUCAGAUAGCAAGUUGUGCACUAGUACUGUAAAUUUAUUUUGUUUAGAAACAGAGAUCUGUGUUUCUUUUUAAGUCAUUAAGUAUGAAAAAAGCCAUCCCUUGGCAUUUGCAUAGACAUACUUUCCUAAAGGUAUGUGAGGAUUGGGAGCAUACAUAAAUGGCAGAUUGGGAAGUAGGUACAAAACGUGGAGAUGAAAAUGGAAAAUGCAUAAGCAUCUGUAAUAGUUUGUAAUCAUUUGCAGGGGAAUAGCACAAUCAGUCUUUGAAUUUAAAGAUAGGUGGUGAGUUAAAACAAGUGUAUCAAACCACACACAGAGCACAAGAUUUGUGUAAUCAGUUUUGCUGUGCGUUCCCAACAGAGUGAGAUGUGCCCGUUCCUCAGCUGUAAGAUGGUGCCACUUGUCUCCUGACCCAAUGUACUGUACAGAGUCCUGCAUCACAUGGCGUGGCAUGUCAAGUCUUACACACCGAGGCUGAGGAAAUUUGAGAGUUGUCAAGAGGUGUUUUUCUGAGCACUCAGAUGUUUCUCAGCCUGGAGGGUAUUUUUUUUUUUUCAUUUUUAUUUUUAUUUUUUUCUCAGUAUGACCAGAUGAAGGAACACUCUUAAGGAAGCGUUUUGAACAGUUAGACGUGCUAAUAGCUACAGAAGCAUCAGUCAGGCUGCAGCUUUUAAGCUUUUGAAAAAUGGUCUUUGAGCAUUCAUUUAAGAUUUUUACACAGGUACAGCAUGACUGAACAAGUGGCUGGGGCUUUUGUGUGGUGCGUGAAUCAGAACGAAAUGUGAGCGAGAUAUGACAGUAGCAACAGUUUCUUUUAUGGUUGAGAGUGGAGAGGAAACGUUUGUGACAUUCUGAAAUGUUCCUGUUGUGCACUGAGAAAGCCAGGGCUUUUUUUUUUCUGGCGUAGGUUGUGCCAGUUGUAAAACAAUGUGUCAGAUUAAUAAAGCAUCCUAUUGAGAAGGAAUAGGAGGUUUGGUGAGGCAUGAUUCAUCCUCGUCUGGUGCAGUAAUUAAGUCUGUUGCUUGCCUUGAGGUCAGUGUGACCCUGUUUAUUUUAAUUUUUCAGUCCCAAAGAUCUGUGCAGUGGGUGUUUAAGGAGGAAUUAGCAAGAGACAGAAAUUUAUUGGUUUCUGUAGUUUUUGGCAAGUGUGUGUUUCCGUUCAUUAUUUUCAUUUUCUCUUCUCAUUCAUUAUUGAAGCACUUAGCUGUUUUAUAAAACCUGACUGACCAUUUAUUUUACUCUUUAAUAACAUUUCUUUUUUGGAGAUAUUAAAAAACAUACACCAUCAUGCUUAGGACCGUUGUAAAUUCAGUGAUAGGAAGAAUAAAAGUAUUUAUAUGACUUUAAACACAAAGCAAUACUUAAUAAAUAUUUUAGGUUCUUUUAAUACAUUUUCAUAUGAAAGAUAAAUCUAUUCCAGGUAUCCUGUUACUUCUUAAGAAGCAGUUCACAACACUUGCUUUCUCAGUUUCCUUCACAUUUGUAAGUAUUUCACAAUAGCAGUCCAUAAAUUAUUUUGCAGUUCUCCUUAAGACUUUUUUUCCCCCAUUUGUUUUGUUUUCAUUUUUAAUAUCUACAAAAACUGAAGAGGAGUCUCUACAAAAA